GGCGCCAUCGUCUAAGGGUUAGGACGGAGCCCUCUCAAGGCUUUAAUAGGGGUUCGAAUCCCCUUGGCGCUACCA
rnacentral:tRNA from 1 species